CCCAGAAGAAAGUAGCGAUGGCUUCGAUGCAGAAAACUAAUUAAUUUCCACCUUAACGUGCGUUCAACAGAGGAUAUCCACGUACAGCUCAUGGUAGUCAAGCGCAUCAGUAGAUUCAGUGUCUCAGGCGGGUGGAGUCCUCAUGGUCUGCAGGUUAUGCCGUAUGAGUGGUGACCACUGGAAAGCACGAUGUAACUGACAUGGCCGCUUAUGUUCCGCCAAGCAUGAGACCAGGUGCAGACAGAAGAAGCACCGCUAGUUCAAACAUGAGGAGUAGGAGGAACGACGAGAACUCUGUACGUUGUGACUAACUUGUCUGAAGACACCCGUGAACAGGAUUUGAUAGAGUUGUUCCAUCCGUUCGGUGCUUUAACCCGUGCCUAUGUUAUGUUGCCAGUGACCAGAAGAAACAUUAGCGGAGGAUUUGGGUUUGUCAAUUUUGUACGUGAGAGGAGAAAAACAGAGACGAGUUCAAUGUUUUCUCUUGUUUGCUUGUCUAUCUUAAGAAUUAAAGAUGAUUAAUGCAUAUGUGAGAUAUGCUUGCUACA